AUACGGAGGAUGCGAGCGUUAUCCGGAUUUAUUGGGUUUAAAGGGAGCGUAGGCGGGAGCUUAAGUCAGCGGUUAAAUGGUGCGGCUCAACCGUGCCCUGCCGUUGAAACUGGGUUUCUUGAGAGUGCAAGAGGCGGAUGGAAUUCAUGGUGUAGCGGUGAAAUGCUUAGACAUCAUGAAGAACUCCGAUUGCGAAGGCGGUCCGCUGAGGCCCGACGGACGCAGAUGCUCGAAGGGGAUGGAAGCAAACAUGUUUAGAGACCCUGGUGGGCCGCAGGGUAAACGAUGAUUACCCGCAGUCGGCGGCAGACAGGCGGCGGCCAAGCGAAAACGAUAAGUAAUCCACCUGGGGAGUACGCCGGCAGCGGUGAAACUCAAAUGAAUUGGCGGGG
rnacentral:rRNA from 1 species